CUGUGUUUCCCCCUCUGUUUUUGUACUUGUGUUUGCAGGGAUGAAGUAUGAUUUGAGAAGGGUGGAGGAAGUAUUUUAUGAUGUGAAGAUACGCGGACUUGUCCCUGGGGAGUCAAAGCAAGAGGUUGCUCAGUCAUAGACGGUGAGCGGUGCCGUACCAUUUACUUGGCAAUCGACAGUUGUCGUGUGUUGUCGUCGCUACCAAUGAAGUUUAUGUUGGACGGAUGGUUCUUAGAAAAAGCUCAUGCUGUGAGGAUCUCUAAUUUUGAUUGUAGCAUCACUUUAAGUUCGGCAAUUUUUUGGACCCACCUAGAGGUUGGAAAAUGACAUAAGAAUUAUUCUGUUGUCAUGUCAUGUGACCUAUAUCUCAUUAGGUUUUGUAACUGAGUCUGAGUAGAUGCGGGUGAACAUGCAUUGGAUUGAAGUUUCCUAUCUCUCCGUCCCAUGUAAUAUAGGACGGAGCUAGUAUUAGAUUUGCGUAGAUGCUUUACGCGGAUGCAGCUAGUUGAUCCCAACCUAGGUAAAAUGAGUCCAUGUUUCAACUGUUGUUGAAUGUUCCAUGGACCACAUCACACGGUUGACUCGGUCGUUCUUAUAGAAUUAGGUUUCGUGUCACAUCAUGAAAACACAAAAGCAUCUGAGAAGCCGUACUGGUGUGACGUCACACGUACAACCCAUCAUUAUCAAUUUAACUAAUUCUCGCGUGCUUAGCGCUAGUCAAUCAUAUACAGUACUGAUGUGGGUGCAGCUACUUGGUUUCAAGUGAGUUCACAUCUCCACAGUCCACACACACGCGCGCGCACGAGGAAUGGGUUCUCCGUCGUGGUCGUGGUCGUCUUCGAGAAACAGAAUCAGGGCAGACGUAGUGCCCCUGGCCUGCCGCUGUGCAUCUACACAUGCUUGGGACACGAGGAUGCUUCGCGGAAGCUGCUUGGCCGCACCAUGCAUAUAAAUAAAGGCACCCGUCGGGCCCUCCACUUACCCACUCCAUCCAACCCGUGUAGGUGGCUUCUCUCGUCUGCUGCAGUGGUAGCUACCUCGUUCGUACGGUCCUGCAGUUUAGGAACAAGGCUGGAUCGAUCAACGGCCAUCCAAGAGAGCACCGGCGCGUACAUGCUAAUUACCUUACCUGUACCAAUCUUUUUCAUAAAUAUACAAAGGCUGUGUACCAUUCAUUGAUAGAAGAAAAGAAGAUACAAAGUUCCCGAGCUAGGGCCCACGAAGGUGCUAGGGGUUCCCUCAAGUAAUCGAUCAUUUUUCGUCGACCCACGAAGGUGCUAGGGGGUCGAUGAGAAGUGAUUGAUCACUUGAGUGAACGACAGAGGAAGACGGAUCUCCCUUCUCGGAAAGCAACACCCACGAAAAGCAACACCAACCGCAAAGAGACAAGGGGCUAAACACAAAACCUUUUUUUUUGUGGGGAAAUACAUGAAACAUUGCAAACCAAAAAGCAUGAAGGAAGGAAGGACAACACAACACAGUUCAAUCGAGAACCAUAAGCUGAGGCUAAAUGAAUUCCAUAACUGCAAACUAUACUAAGUCUUAGAUCAGUCAUAAACAUAAUACCACGAGUGCAUAAUUAAUUCUGGACAAACAUAGUUUCAUAUCAUAAAUAAAAAAUCACAAUGGUCUAGGUCCUGUUUAAAAUGUGAACUCGGAUCACCCUAGCUAGCUACGAAGAAAAUGACGGGAGAUACAAGGACGACGGUGACGAGAAUAAAGAGCAAGACGAUGUGAGUUGGUGACAGCGAAGUGGCCAUGUUCCCGUGCCCACAAAUCUAUGGAAAGAUAGAUGAUUCACUAAGAUUUAUUCCACGACCAAAUCGUUACAUCUUUAUGUCAGCGCAUAUAUAUAUCCGGCCACUUGUAAGUUGUAAAGCAAAUAAUAAUAAUUGUGAAACUAGAUUGAAAAGUUCGUGACCCCAAUACGUGCGUGCUUUAUGUUUCUGAUUUGAUACCAAACUUCCAACAAGCUAAGUGGAAUCUAGUCAUAGUCAAUAACUCAAGUCAUUAUGUGACAUCAUUGAUGUGACAAUCAUCCAUCUAUUUCUAAGUAGGAUUAAUUACAUCCGUCAGAACUAGAUCAUGAUUUCAAACUUCUAACUAUUAGUAGUUAACUUGUUAAUACAUUUUUAAUGAAGAGUUUAUCUUCUAAAAAGAUGUUCAGCAUGAUAGUUUUUUUUUUCAUUUAACGUAAAGUUUGUAGUGUUUGUACUGAGAGUCCAGAAGAAAUAUGAUAAUACCCAUGAAUUCACACCAUGUGUUGAUCGUUGCUAUAGCAUACAUGUUUGCAAGAACCCACAACUUUAGAUUCCAUAAGAAAAGAAAAGGCAGGGGGCAAAAAAAAAAAAA
rnacentral:lncRNA from 1 species